GUGACCACCAUGUCUCCCGUGCCACCCGCCGCGCCGGCAGAGAAUGUUGAAGUGGCUUCACUCCGCAUCCCAGGAGCCUGCAUCGACUACCCCACCGGUUCCCCAGCCUGUCUCACCGCUCCCGGCUCCGACGCCCCUGUUCUCUGUUUCAGGAUUCUGCAGGUCUGUUCCAGGACCAAGAAAUACCUUCAGGGAUGUCAAAGAUCAACAUCUCCAGCCAAUGGACCUUCUCAUGAAACUCAGCUGUUUGGACUGGAAACAAUUAGCAUUCUUUGCAUUGUUUGGGUUUCUGGUAUUGUGAACCUUGUUUUAGUGAUUUAAUAGAACUAGAUAUUCAACAGGUAAAGAAUCUCCUUGAUCAUUCUACGUCAGCACUUGACUGAGGUUCUGACUGGCAACAGAUAAACCUCUCGAGAUGUGUUUGUUGUCUCUUCUGCAAGGGCCCAGCAGAAGAAUUGCAAAUGUAGUCUUCUUUUUAUUUUUAUUAUAGUAAGAAGGGUGAAUUGUAGCCGCAGCUCUCUUAAGAGAAAGGAAACAGGCACAACUUCCCAAGGAUAUUUCCUGGGAAUCACAGUGAGGAACCUCAGAGAAAGAAAAAACAAUUCUUAUUUCAUUUGCUGCUCCUGUUGUUGUGCUGAUGUGGAAUGUGUUCUGGAGAUUGUUUACCCAAGGUGAUUGCUUGAUUGGAUUCUGGUGGAAUUCUUUAUGUUAAUUAGCCGAUCAGGUCCAAGCUGUGUCCUGACUGUUGGGAGACAGUCACGAAUUUUUUUUUUUUGUUCUUUAGUAUUCUUUGUAGUAUAGUAUCAUAUUGUAUAUUAAAGUAAUUAAUUAGCCUUCUGA